rnacentral:rRNA from 1 species
AUUGAACGCUGGCGGUAUGCCUUACACAUGCAAGUCGAACGGUAGAGGGGCAACCCUUGAGAGUGGCGAACGGGUGAGUAAUACAUCGGAACGUGCCCAGUCGUAGGGGAUAACGUAGCGAAAGCUACGCUAAUACCGCAUACGACCUGAGGGUGAAAGCGGGGGGAUCGCAAGACCUCGCGCGAUUGGAGCGGCCGAUGGCAGAUUAGGUAGUUGGUGGGUAAAGGCCUACCAAGCCUGCGAUCUGUAGCUGGUCUGAGAGGACGACCAGCCACACUGGGACUGAGACACGGCCCAGACUCCUACGGAGGCAGCAGUGGGGAAUUUUGGACAAUGGGCGAAAGCCUGAUCCAGCCAUACCGCGUGCGGGAGAAGGCCUCGGUUGUAACCG